rnacentral:tRNA from 1 species
GGGAAUUUGGCUCAGUGGUAGAGUGCUUGCCUUGCAUGCAUGAGUCCCUGGGUUCAAUUCCCC